CAACAGCUAAAUCACCAGUUUCCAAGGGCAUUUGCAUCACCUAUGGAAAGCAUCGGAUCCUUAUACACCAGAUGUUCUUGACAGCUCAUCCCAUCAUUCCCCCUGCACAAAAGUUGCUAUACCAGCGGACAACCAAGACAACUACUGAGCUUCUUUUGAUUGUCAAGUAGAUAUAAUAUCACUGCCAGCAAAACAGCACAAAAAGUGUCUCUUCACAGUAUCACUACCAAUUGGGACUAUGCUAAGUAAAUCAGCUUGCCUAGAUGAGGACCCCUUCUAUUCUUGGGUAGCCAGAAUUUGAAGGAGAUACUCUGACCUGUGCCACUGGAAGCCACUGGAGGAUGUGCUUCACCAAAAUGAGGGAGUAAUCUGAGAAGGCAUGGGAUCCUGAAAUUAAAAGAUGUCAUAAAGGAAAACGAGGAAAGUCUGGGGAUGACUACUGUGCCAACCAGGUAUGGUGGUGGCAUGCACCUGUGGUCCCAGCUACUCAGGAGGCGGAGAUGGAAGGAUCACUUGAGUCCACACCACUAUACUUCAGCCUGGGUGACAGAGUAAGAGACCUUGUUUAAAAAUAAAUAAAUAAAUAAAAAGAUAAUCUGCAAUAAGUCUAAAUUAUUUGCACUAGUUAAUUUUAUGUCCAUUACAAAUGAGUGCUCCCCGAGGUCAGGAGAUCAAGACCAUCCUGGCCAACAUGGUGAAACCCCUUC
rnacentral:lncRNA from 1 species